ACGCCUGUCUCAUCCACUCUCAACUUCUGUGCACUUUUCAUAGGCCGGCUUGUGGGUGCGUUCGCGCACUUGUAGGUGUCGGGCUUAUGCUUUAUUACAAACGAUUCAGUUUUAGAAUGUCAUACUUUGCUAUAACGCAAUUUAUAUACAACUUUCAGCAACGGAUCUCUUGGCUCUCGCAUCGAUGAAGAACGCAGCGAAAUGCGAUAAGUAAUGUGAAUUGCAGAAUUCAGUGAAUCAUCGAAUCUUUGAACGCACCUUGCGCUCCUUGGUAUUCCGAGGAGCAUGCCUGUUUGAGUCUCAUGGAAUUCUCAACCUUCGGCUUCAUUGACGAAGGCUUGGACUUGGAGGUCGUGCCGGCUCUCGUAGUCGGCUCCUCUGAAAUGCAUUAGUGCGAACGUUACCAGCCGCUUCAGCGUGAUAAUUAUCUGCGUUGCUGCGGAGGGUAUUCUAGUGUUCACGCUUCUAACCGUCUUCGGACAAAUUUCUGAACUCUGAGCUCAAAUCAGGUAGGACUACCCGCUGAACUUAAGCA
rnacentral:rRNA from 1 species